GGGAGAGCGCCGCCCGCCUCGGCACCGACCCCGCCGGGACCCCGCGGCGGCUCCGCGCCCUGCUGGAUGGGAUGAUCGUCGCCGCCGUGCGGGAGGCUCUGGGGGUCCUGCGGGGCUGCAAGUGAGGUCACGGCGCCGCGGGAGGACACCGGGAGCCUCGGCCACGGCCACGGCCACGGUCAUGGUCACGGUCACGGUCACGGUCACGGCCACAGCCACGGCCGGGGCACCGCGGGGAGCCGGGACCGGGCGCCUUUGGCUCGGUGCUUGGCUCCGAGAGCUCCCGGCGGUGCUCGGGGCAGGAGGAAUAAAGAGUCCGGCACCA